rnacentral:rRNA from 1 species
GGAAUCUUCCACAAUGGACGAAAGUCUGAUGGAGCAACGCCGCGUGAGUGAAGAAGGGUUUCGGCUCGUAAAACUCUGUUGUUAAAGAAGAACAUAUCUGAGAGUAACUGUUCAGGUAUUGACGGUAUUUAACCAGAAAGCCACGGCUAACUACGUGACCG